rnacentral:rRNA from 1 species
GAAGGCUUCCCAUUCAUUCAGGAACCGCCUUCUGGUGAUUUGCAAGAACGCGUACUUAUUCGCCACCAUGAUUAUGACCAGUGUUUCCAGUCCGUUCAGUUGUUGCAGUGGAAUAGUCAGGUUAAAUUUAAUGUGACCGUUUAUCGCAAUCUGCCGACCACUCGCGAUUCAAUCAUGACUUCGUGAUAAAAGAUUGAAUCGCGAGUGGUCGGCAGA